UCAAGCGAAUAAGCGCACACGGUGGAUGCCUUGGCGGUCAGAGGCGAUGAAGGACGUGGCAGCCUGCGAAAAGUAUCGGGGAGCUGGCAACAAGCUUUGAUCCGGUAAUGUCCGAAUGGGGAAACCCACCCGCUUGCGGGUAUCCUGCAGUGAAUACAUAGCUGCUGGAAGCGAACCUGGUGAACUGAAAUAUCUAAGUAACCAGAGGAAAAGAAAUCAACCGAGAUUCCGUAAGUAGCGACGAGCGAACGCGGACUAGCCCUUAAGCUGGAUUGGUUCUAGGAAAACGCUCUGGAAAGAGCGGCCAUAGAAGGUGAUAGCCCUGUAUCUGAAAGGGCCAUUCCAGUGAAGACGAGUAGGGCGGGGCACGUGAAACCCUGUCUGAACAUGGGGGGACCAUCCUCCAAGGCUAAAUACUACUGACCGACCGAUAGUGAACCAGUACCGUGAGGGAAAGGCGAAAAGAACCCCGGAGAGGGGAGUGAAAUAGAACCUGAAACCGUGUGCGUACAAGCAGUAGGAGCUCCGCAAGGAGUGACUGCGUACCUUUUGUAUAAUGGGUCAGCGACUUACUGUUCGUGGCAAGCUUAACCGUAUAGGGGAGGCGAAGGGAAACCGAGUCUGAUAAGGGCGCAUAGUCGCGGGCAGUAGACCCGAAACCGGGUGAUCUAGUCAUGCCCAGGGUGAAGGUGCGGUAACACGCACUGGAGGCCCGAACCCACUCCCGUUGCAAAGGUAGGGGAUGAGGUGUGAUUAGGAGUGAAAAGCUAAUCGAACCCGGAGAUAGCUGGUUCUCCUCGAAAGCUAUUUAGGUAGCGCCUCAUAUGUAUCCUCUCGGGGGUAGAGCACUGUUAUGGCUAGGGGGUCAUCGCGACUUACCAAACCAUUGCAAACUCCGAAUACCGAGACGGACUGUAUGGGAGACACACGGCGGGUGCUAACGUCCGUCGUGAAAAGGGAAACAACCCAGACCCACAGCUAAGGUCCCAAAUUCACUGCUAAGUGGAAAACCAUGUGGAAAGGCACAGACAGCCAGGAGGUUGGCUUAGAAGCAGCCACCCUUUAAAGAAAGCGUAAUAGCUCACUGGUCGAGUCGGUCUGCGGGGAAGAUUUAACGGGGCUAAGCAGUGAACCGAAGCUUGGGGUGCAUAACUUUGUUAUGCGCGGUAGAGGAGCGUUCCGUAAGCCGUUGAAGGUGGAUUGAGAAGUCUGCUGGAGGUAUCGGAAGUGCGAAUGCUGACAUGAGUAACGAUAAUGCGGGUGAAAAACCCGCACGCCGAAAGCCCAAGGUUUCCUUGCGCAACGUUAAUCGGCGCAGGGUGAGUCGGCCCCUAAGGCGAGGACGAAAGUCGUAGUCGAUGGGAAGCAGGUUAAUAUUCCUGCACCUCGCGUAAGUGCGAUGGAGGGACGGAGAAGGUUAGGUGUACCAGGCGUUGGUUGUCCUGGGGAAAGGCGGUAGGUUUGGAUCUUUGGCAAAUCCGGGAUCCUCUAAGACCGAGCACCGAGACGAGCCUUUAUGGCGAAGUCACUGAUACCACGCUUCCAGGAAAAGCUCCUAAGCUUCAGCUUACGCAGACCGUACCGUAAACCGACACAGGUGGGUAGGAUGAGAAUUCUCAGGCGCUUGAGAGAACUCGGGUGAAGGAACUAGGCAACAUGGCACCGUAACUUCGGGAGAAGGUGCACCCUUUUUGGUGGCUCGUGCGAGCUAUAGCUGAAGAGGGUCGCAGUAACCAGGCCGCUGCGACUGUUUAUCAAAAACACAGCACUCUGCAAACACGAAAGUGGACGUAUAGGGUGUGACGCCUGCCCGGUGCUGGAAGGUUAAUUGAUGGGGUCAGCCGCAAGGCGAAGCUCUUGAUCGAAGCCCCAGUAAACGGCGGCCGUAACUAUAACGGUCCUAAGGUAGCGAAAUUCCUUGUCGGGUAAGUUCCGACCUGCACGAAUGGCGUAACGACAGCGGCGCUGUCUCCACCCGAGACUCAGUGAAAUUGAAAUCGCUGUGAAGAUGCAGCGUUCCCGUGGCAAGACGGAAAGACCCCGUGAACCUUUACUAUAGCUUUACACUGAACGUUGAGUUCGUCUGUGUAGGAUAGGUGGGAGGCUAUGAAACUGUGGCGCUAGCUGCAGCGGAGCCAUCCUUGAAAUACCACCCUGUCGUGCUUGACGUUCUAACCUGGGCCCAUUAUCUGGGUCGGGGACCGUGUAUGGUGGGUAGUUUGACUGGGGCGGUCUCCUCCUAAAGAGUAACGGAGGAGCUCGAAGGUACGCUCAGCGCGGUCGGACAUCGCGCACUGUGUGCAAAGGCAUAAGCGUGCUUGACUGCAAGAUCGACGGAUCAAGCAGGUAGGAAACUAGGACUUAGUGAUCCGGUGGUUCUGUAUGGAAGGGCCAUCGCUCAACGGAUAAAAGGUACUCCGGGGAUAACAGGCUGAUACCGCCCAAGAGUUCAUAUCGACGGCGGUGUUUGGCACCUCGAUGUCGGCUCAUCACAUCCUGGGGCUGUAGUCGGUCCCAAGGGUAUGGCUGUUCGCCAUUUAAAGUGGUACGCGAGCUGGGUUCAGAACGUCGUGAGACAGUUCGGUCCCUAUCUGCCAUGGGCGUUGGAGAUUUGAGAGGGGCUGCUCCUAGUACGAGAGGACCGGAGUGGACGAACCUCUGGUGUUCCGGUUGUCACGCCAGUGGCAUUGCCGGGUAGCUAUGUUCGGAAGCGAUAACCGCUGAAAGCAUCUAAGCGGGAAGCGCGCCUCAAGAUGAGAUCUCCCGGGGCACAAGCCCCCUGAAGGAACCAUGUAGACUACGUGGUUGAUAGGUCAGGUGUGUAAGUACAGCAAUGUAUUGAGCUAACUGAUACUAAUGAUCCGUGCGGCUUGACCAU
rnacentral:rRNA from 1 species